rnacentral:lncRNA from 1 species
GGGACUUACGCAUGAACCUAUAUUAGGUUAAAACAUCGCAUUAAGCUAAGAGCACCAUACAAAAAGAGUUUGACAUCACAUCCUUAUCCAAAGUCUUAAGCAAAUAGGUUUAUGAGUCACCUCCCUUAUAUGUAGCUCAACAUCUACUCUUGCAUUCAAAGUCAAAUUUUAACUCACACUUGAAAAAUUAACAUCUCUCCAUUAAGUAUAAGACUCUCUAUGUUUGGGAUCCACAACCAAGAACCACUCCUAAUUUCCCACAAUGUUGAACCAAAUAUGAUUCCAACAUUGGGAUUUUGAGGGGACAUUGCAGAAAGAGCAACCAUAGAAGUGGGAAUGAUACCACAUCUUUAUCCAAAAUUUUAAGGAUUAAGUAUAUGAGCAUUUUCACUUAUUUGUUGUUUAAAGUCCACUAUGUUAUCCAAUGUCGGGCUUUAACUGACACUUCAUACAUCAUUCUAUUCUCUCUUGAAAGUAUGACAAAAUUCUAACCUGUGUUUGGCACUAGUGUACAUAUUACUUAAAAAUAAAACACUUUAUUUCCUUAUUUUAUUUCAUUGCCAUCAUAUUAGAGUACAAAAUUAUGAGUUCAAGGUUCAUAAAAAUAAGGGAAAAAUACAAUUAUUUGGUGCAUAAACAAAAACUAAAUGAUGAAUUGUGGAAUAUUAUAACAUUAGGUAUAUUAUAAAAUUAUUUUUCUAGCGCAAGAACUCAAUAGUCUCAAUAAACAUGUCUGAUCUCGGCACAAAAGCCUUUACGACAUGUAACACUAAAUUUUUUUUUUCGUGGACAAUCCUGAUCUGUACGACAAGGAGUGGGCGUAGUAGAAGAACCAAAAUCAAGUAGCGUCAGGACAAGAAACAUGUAAAGAAAUAGAAUCAAAACAUUAAGACAUUUUAUAGUUUUAGCCAUG